CGCAUUUCACCUUACCUUUCUGACGUUCUUUUCCCGUUUCUUUUCAUCUUCUUUGAGCCGUUUCUUUUCAUCUGAAACGCAUUUCGGUUUCGAAAUUGAAAGCUAUAAAAAACCAUUGAAAGCCUUCCUCAAAGAAUUUCAUGUUCCCGACCAUCUCUGCUUCAGUCAAGGAUUCGCAUUAGGGCUUCCGCAAUCUCCAUGUCCGCUUGACAGUGAGGAUUCGCAGAAAGAAAUCAAGGCUUCCUCAGCGAUUAGGAUUCGCUCUGUGUCUGUAAUCCAGGCUUCUGUUUCCAUUCUACCAAUUCUUUGGAAGCCGCAUUACCUCUGUUCCAGUAAUCAGGGCUGCCAUGUUUUCAUUUUGAUGUUGUGCAUACCUGCCAAUGCCAUUCGUUUAUGCCCGCGAAAUCCCUUCUUUGAAGCACCUCUCCUAAAGGCGUUGUUGUUUCAUUCCGUGCCAUCGCUGAUAAAAUCUCUUGGUUGUGAUGUCUUUCAGUUGUGGCCUUGAAUUUCCUUCUUUGGGUAUGUCACAAGUUGGCUUAUAUUUUUCCAAAAGGGAACAAUCUAAGAGGUGAAAUUGGUCACUUAAUCAUAUGGAAAACUUCUUUGUGCUCCACUGGAGUGGGAAAGACAUUGGUGGCAAAAGCAGUGGCAAGGGAAACAGGAUCAACCAGAUAAAAGGAGUAGAGACAAGAUCUAUGCACAACAUGCAACUAACAGAAAACUGCAUUCCCAGAAAACUACAAGAGAUUGGCGCAGAUCCUUAAUCAUUUUUGUGCAUGGAUUCACAAGUGACACCAUCUUUUGGAUCCUUAAUCAUUUUUGUGCAUGGAUUCUAAAGUAACACCACACCAUCUUUUGGGCUUGCUAAGUUGGAUACGCAAAGAGCAGGACUUCUUAUAAACAUGUGGUCACUGUUGUGGUAAUGCUAGAAGUUAUUUUCACUCAUAGUGGUAUGUAUGAGGCCAGGGGGUGGAAGAGUUGAUAAUAUGUGAAUUUUUUUUGUCAAUACUGAUAUGAAGGGCUACUCUUGAUUUAAAAGGGUUUCUCUUUAUCCGAUGCCUUUUUUCUUUCUUCAUGUUAGCAUCUUUGAAUCUUAUAGUAAAUGUUGUUGCAAAGAAAGUCUUCAAGUUUUCAGGUUUGAUUAUGAAUUUUCAUUGGUUGUUUAUGCAUUGUUGGUUGAGAUGUGGUUGGAACAUUUGGGGACAAUGAAUUAGAAGGAUUAAGAUAAUAUUGGUUCGUGAGUCUAAGAUAUAGUAACUAUAGAUGAUGAAGAAACAUUAAAAGUGAGUAAUUUGUAACGGGUGAGUGACAUUAAAAGCUAUUAAUUUUUAACGUGUGAAGAAACAUUAAAAGUGAUUAAUUUGUAACAGAUGGGAGACAUUAAAAGUUAUUAAUUUAUAACAGGUGAGAGGUGGAUUUAGUUUUAUGCAACCAUUAGUUAAUUAGAAGAGCUGAAGAUGUAAAGCUAUGAACGAGUCUCAUUAAUAAUAUUUAGAUAAUAGAUAGAAGGUGAGUAAAAUGGAACUCUAAUGCUAACCUAACCUUCUUCAAUCUCAGGUUUUAGUUCCAGGAUUUUUUUUUUUUAUUUAUAAAAAUGCAUAAUUAUAACAAAAAUCACUUAAAAUUGAAAUGAUGUGGCUGUUUUAUCCAUUUGCUUUGGUUUUCCAUGUUAUUCAACACAGCAACUCCUCCAUCUAUUAAUUCUUUUAGGUUGUUUGCAGAUGACUUCCCUCUACUCUCAGACUUUUUGCUCAUUAAAACAGUUGCUAAACAUGCAUGCUUCCCAACAGCAACCUCAGGGUCAGAGCUCCCAAAAUAAUAAAAUUCACUACAAUGGUUUUGGAACUUUAAGAGCUUAAUGUGUCUUUCAUGAGUGUCUUUGCGUUCAGCAAUUGAGUUUGUGCCUGUCUUUUCUGCUGAAAUAUAUUUGCAAGAAAAGUCCAAUGAUUUCCUUUUUGGGACGCAUACUAAAGGAUUGGUAUAUAUGAUACUGGCCGAGACGAGACACAUACCGUAAUCUGAAGCUUGCCGAUUUUCAUUGGCACAAUCAUUUUUUAAUGAGUUCAAUGCAAACCUUAUAAAAAUUGUGGAUUCUCUUUCUGAAUCUUAUGAAGGUUGGUGCUGCUAUGAUUUACAUAAGAGAGCCCUUUGAUUAAAUUACUAACAUGUAGCUCUGCAGAGCGUCUCUGGCAGAAUCAAGUCUGGCCAUUUGAUAUUGUUAAAAAAAUGUAGUUCAUAUUCUAAUUAUAUGUCUUGCUUUUUAUGCUUGACUAUCUUUUGGUACAUUAUUCUAUUUUGAUUUACACUUUAUAAAGGUGGCUGCGGCUUCUCUAUUGCUAUCUCUGUAGCCUUGGAAUUCCUUCUGAAUAAAAACUAACACUGUAUGAUUUUACUAUAUAUAGCAUAAAUUAAUGGAUUUGGUA